GUCCAAGAAGGACAAACAGUCUGCUCAGCUCUAGGUCAAAGAGCUUCUCUGUAGUGCAAAGACUAAUGCUUCUAAUGAUACACCUGAGAAUAUCCUAAAAAGAAGUGUGGUGAUGUACAAAGCAAGAUCCAGACAUCCUAUGUUGUUUCUGGACAGGCUGUGGUCCUACAACCGCUGCUUAGAAGUACUACAUGUUGAUAGCCAGUACAUAUGACGAUGUGGAGAAACAGGCAUGCUCUACAUACUGAAACAAGAGAGCCCAACACUUCACUACAAGGGUUAUGAGUGACGACUCUGCACUUGACGAGAGUAUCCUUCAAUCACUCACCUCGAAAGCAUCUCUCAUUCUGACUAAAUAACCAACGUGUUUUAUGCGGACAUUGCAUUUUAAAUUAAUCUUUGAAAAUUUACACUAAAUUUUUUGAACUUUGCAUGAUAAAAUUGUAGUAUACUAAUAAUGCCUGUACCUAAGGAUUUUUUAAAAGCUAAAUGUGCAUUGUGUUUGUAGGUGCUAGGUGGGAAACAAUUUCUACUCAAACAAAGAAAUUAGGUAUAACAACUUGUUAAAGCAAGAAAGUAAUGCAAUUUUUAAUGCAAGUUAUGCUUUAUGAAAAGACAACUAUUAAAUAAGCAAAAAAUGACUAUACUUUUAUAAGAUGUCAUUAGUGACACAGCACACCAUUAUUUUAUGUCCUACAAAGGGAAUUAAAGUAAAAAUGAUUUCUUGUCAUAUUUAUUGUAAUAUGCAUCCUAACUUCAGAAAUGUUAAAUAUGAAAGAAAAUAAAACCCACCAAGUUUUAGAAGAAUAUCUCACCGUAUUCCCAUAGAGGCCACAUAUCUUAACAUUGUGUUACGGAAGUUACUGCAUCACAUCCUGUGAGAUGUGUUAAAAUGGAGUUUUAUUCUUGUUUGAUUACUGACUAUCAACACAAUUUUCAUAAUAUUGAGUCAGUGUAUAUGACGAAAAGGGUUAAAGCUCUAAGCAAAGUAUAUUUCUAUAAAUCGCAUGCAUAAUUAACACGAGGGGCUAAUAAAAAUUUGAAA